UUUCUGCAGCCUACAGCCAUUUCUUAGGACAGAUGGGGCUAGGUAGAUCCGUGGGGAUGGGCUAAGAUCAAAGACAAGUGAUGCUGAGCAUCUGGGGAAAGCAUAACGAAGGGAACAGCUGAAGCCAUGAUGUGCUAAGCUGGGGUCCUUUCUGACUCUUUGAAGAUGCCUCUUGUCGUGAACCCCUAUUAUGACUCCUGAAUGUCCUCCUGGGGCUGCAAGACACUCUUUGCCAAAAAGGAAUGCAGAAAACCCAGCCUACCCCCUGCAAACAAGGCAUGGAGACAAAACGCAGUUGGAACCUCGGGGCUGAGGUUUCCAUGGUGGCCCCACUCUGCUGCUCUUCCCAUUGGCCAGGCGUCCUGCUCCAGCUUUAGCAACAGAGGCUCAGAUACCCAUCUCCUUCCUGAUUGGCCAGGUUGUGCUGCAGCGCCAUGGCAACAGGGGCAGAGGGACCAGUUUCUGCAGAACGACUUGAGUCACCAUCUACUUGGGGUGGAGCUGAGAUCCAGAGGGGCGCUUGCAGGGGAUGCCUUAAAGGGAACAGGUAGCCCCCACCUCAGCUCACAGUCAGGAGAACAUGGCUGGACUGCUGGGAAUCGGCAAAGGAGGAGAAAACGGUGAUCUCCUUGGUCUGAAUCUUAUCCCCUGCUAGAAAUGAAUGUUUUGGCAGUUUCCUCUCCUUUCUGCUCAACUCGGGCUCCCUGAAGCUCUUGCCCCUGAGACACAAUCCAGCCACCUGGCCAGCCUUCCUGCCCUCCCAAGAGCAUGGGUUUUGGAGGAUACGGUAAGGUGGGAGCUCAUGCCUGCCAUUCUGCCCCACUAAGUGCCAUACCAGCAAGGGGCAAGCACAUGAUUUCACCACCAACAACAACGUGUGGCAUCUUCCCUGUGCCAGACCUCAUGCGGGUGCUAGGGAGAUGGCAGGGAACAGACCAUUAUGGCCCCUGGCCUCAUGGGACCUGCUGCCUAGUGGAGGAGAUGGACAAUAAACCCAUGGAUGAGUACAUCAUGAUUUCAGUUAGUAAUACAUGCCUAGGACAGGAUGAAACAGGAUAAUGAGAUAGAGAGCGAUUGGUGGGGAGUAUGCUGUUUUAGCCGGAAUGGCCAGGAAAAGACUCUCUGAGGAGGUGACAUCUGAGCAGAUAACUGAAGAGGGAGCAGCUAUAUCAGUUAUUGAUGUCCAUGUAAUAAACCCAAACUGGAUAACAAACCCCAAAA